rnacentral:rRNA from 1 species
GCAAGUCGAACGGCAGCAUGGGUGCUUGCACCUGAUGGCGAGUGGCGCACGGGUGAGUAACGCGUACGCAAUCUGCCCCCGGCCGGGGGAAAGUCACGGGAAACUGUGAAUAAUCCCGUAUGGCAACAGGGCGCUGCAUGGCGUUUUGUUCAAAGCUACGGCGGCCGGGGAUGAGCGUGCGUCCGAUUAGCUAGUUGGCGGGGUAACGGCCCACCAAGGCUACGAUCGGUAGGGGGCGUGAGAGCGUGGAC